UUCACACGACCAUGCAUCAUAUUUUGUUGAUCUUCUCAGCCAUCACAACUGGAUUUUGCUUGGCAAUCUGCUCCCGUGCCACCUUCUUGUAGUCGAAGGUGCACUGGUGGGAGUCGGUGUAGCGGUGCGUGGAGCAGAAGGUGCCACCGCAGCGGCAGAGGAAGCCGGUCAGCCCGACCUUCUUGCGGCAGGUCAGGCACCGGUUGCUGGGCGGCUUUGGUGGCUCCUGCUCUGCUUGCUUCUCCGCCACAGCUUCAGUGGCAGCAGCUGCAGGCACAUCAUCUUGCUUUGCUGUCUCCAUUGGUGCCGCAGAAGAAGAUGCCGCGGUGAUCACCUUCUUCUCAACCACAGGGGCUUCCAUCAACUUAAUGAAGUCCCUGUAGCACUUCGAGCACAUAUUGUUCGUCAUGGUGCUGCCGAAGAAACCACAGUUGUUUAUGCACAGAAUUGGGGCCUCAGGCGCAUGGACUCCAGUCUCCUCAGACUCCUGUUUCCAGCUCUCCUGUGCCAUUGCUACAGAUGGGCUGCAUGGACACAAGUUCUAGCUCAUUAGCAAGAAAUGGGCAUGCAGUAAGUGUGAUAAAUAGCAAAAAUACACUAUUCAAACUCAGAUUCAGAAAGAAAUACAACCUAAUGUUCAACAGUGGAACUGCAUAAGGUUGUACAGAGCGAUAAUAAGAGGAAAUUAGGAAUUCUGGAUUGAAUCAUGAAAAGGGUUGCAUCAUAUUUCAAUCCUUGUUCUCUUUACAGGACACGACUAUCUCUCAGUAACAGCUGAAAAACAAAACCAACUUGCAACAAAUUGGAAAUGAAUAAUUUCAAAGCUAACUAACUUAAGCCAAUUGUAUCCAAAUGUGUCAUUCUGUAAGGUCUUUGAAAUACUUAGCUGAUAAAGACUGCCCAUAUUUAUUCAGAUAAGCAGUAGGUGAGGGCAGCGGGCAUGUUAAAAUUUAUUGGGAUAACAGUAGCUUGUACUAGAUCAGUAGAUUCAAACAUCCAAAUUUCCUAUCCAUGAUUUUAUCCUCAGUCCCUUGUAAAUUCAAACAUCAAAAGUUGUCAGUUUCCCAAUCAGAUUACUUUCUACUAGCAUAUGCAACCAGGCUGCAUAUUGAGCAGUCAGCUUCUCUAGCAGAACAAGAUAAGGAGAGUGUGUCGAACCUGCAGAGCAGCAAUGGGAUUGUUAUCCAACAACCUGCGCCACAGGUCUUCUGUACGAGCGGAUUUAACCGCGCUGGACCAAACGCUCUAUGCUUCUAUCACAUCCUUAUUCUCGAUAUAAACAACUAAAGCUCUGCACAGCACACCUUGGUUACUCAAGGGCCUUACACAAUCAUAGCAUGAAGCCAAGGCCUUUUUGGUUGCUCCACAGAUUGCAUAUGUAGCACCAGCGCAAGGCAGGGAACCAGCCGCAUACAGGCGAAGCAAUCAAUCCCCGGAACUGCAAUCAGGUAGAUGCACAACCAAUUCAGGCAGUCAAACCUUCAUCCGCACGUCCAAGCAAUCGACCUUGCCAUGGUCAGCACGAAACCUCUGGCCACAAUCAAGGCUACCCACGCCAAGCACCGCAAGGAAGCUCGCCGCUUCAUCCACCCCGUACGCAAGGGCCACAAGAGACCUUCCCGUAUCAGCAAACAUCUCUCACUCGCUUCAUGAUUUGACACGGAGCUCGCAUGUGAUGCGAGGGAUGGAAGAGCCCUGCCACAAGCAAGCAGACACGCGCGCCGCGGCUUUGUACCCGGCGGCGACAGGAUGAACUUCACCCCCACAUCCGCCGGCGACCACCGAAGUUUGUUCAUCAACCACGGGGACAGAUUCGGUGUCCUUCACUGAGUCACUCCCUCCGCUGUUCCUAAAGGUUGAGGUCUCGCCUGCCGGCCUAGAAAACAAACCACGGCAAAUGAUUUGCAAGAGAAUUAAAGGGAAAAUACGCAUAGGCGAACCCAAAUCCUCCGUAACAGAGAGGCGCGCAGACCCCGUGCCACCAACCCCACCGGUCAACCCAAUUCCAAUCGGCGCAGAUCCGAUCCAGAACCAACCGGCCGCGCCUCGACGCGAAGCCCACCGCCAACCUAGAAACGAAACUGCCCCCAAAAAUCCUAGAUAAAAAAAAAAUCCGACACGCCAGCCACGGACCCCGUCAACGGCGACCCUCGCCGCCGCUAGAUCGGCCGGCGCGGCAGGCCGAGCGCCGGCAAUCGGAUCUGGGGCCGGGGAAUAGGAGGCGGGGGGGGGGGGGGGGGGAAGCGGCGCAACCAACCUGUGGGCGAGACGGCACGCGACCUUUCCCCCCGAGAAGAAUUUUCUCUCUUUUUUUUUCUUUUUGGGGCCGGGCGUCGAGAGGUAGGCGAAGGCGAGGAGGGCGCUGGCUUAUUUCGGGAUGGCGUGCGCUUAUAAAGGCCAACCCUUUCCCGAUCCGCCGGUGCACUUACCGUCGGAUUAGGUUAGAUUAUUAAUCAAAUCGGGCGGCUAAUCGUCGUGUUUAGCCGGUGAUUAGUGUGGACCCUUCUAGACGCGCGCGGGUGGGACCACGAGGCGGGCCGCCGCCCGUGUGGCGGGUGGGGCCGGCGCGGGACCCGCGUGCCAGCGGGGCUGCCGGCGCCGGGUGGAAGUGGAAGCUGGUGGAGGAUGGGUCGGGUUCGGCGUGGGACGGGUCCACGGUGGACGAUGGAUUCGGGAACAGAAGCAGCAUGGCGCGUGGCGGGGUGGGAGGGCCCACUUGGCGGCUGCGGUAGGGCUCCGCUUUUUGGCGGCGGGUGCGGAUGACGUGGAGACCCGCUGGGCCCACCUGGAAUCGUGCGUGUAACCUUUACAGCUGCAAAAGGUGGAGCGAGCCUCUGUUGCAGCUGCUGCUUCGGUUCUUUUAAAAAAGUGGAGAGGAAAUUUCAUCUGAUUUAAAAAAAGAAAGAUUGUUUACGUGAAAUUUCAUUUGAUUUCAGAAAAAAAGGAGCACGGCGGCGGCGGUAGGCUGUCGGCUGUCGAGCAUAGCGUCGGCGCUCGCCGGCUCACGUCGGCAGCGGCAGGACUCGGAGGAAAAAACACUGCACACAAUGGCGGCCGAGCUAGGCAGGGCAGGUCGAGGCGCCGGAGCUGGAUUCGCUCCACCCGCAUCCUUGGUUCAGCCCGCCGAGACGCGCCGCGAAGCGCGCCCGGCGGCGACGGCCGGGGUUCAAGUCACGAGGGCGCCGCCGGGAAGAAGCGAGACGGGUACGGGAGGGCUGGUUUGGCCGCCGCGAGGGCCGGGGCGGCACGAUGUCGGCCGGCACUGUUCCCUGUUCGACCGGCAAAGCAAACACGAACUCUCUCGAAACAGCGGGCUGCAUUUGCCAGUUAGCGAGAAGAAGCCCACGAGCGGUUUUGGGCCGCGCGGCCCAUCAGGAAAAAGGCUGCCGGCGAAGUGCGGAGAACACGAGAGGCUAGUGGGACCGGGACUUCUUUUGUUUGUCCCUCGUGGUCCUCUUGCUGCCUGCUUGCUCUCUGACUUUUGACUGGCUCCCCACGAUCUCGCUCGUCCUGCUGCUCUCGCCCGAUUCGGCCACCCGUCGCGAGCGCACCGGCUGACCGGCACCAGCGAUGGAGAACCUGCUAUCCUCGGCCGCGUCCCACAAGACGCUCCCUGACAGCUUCGUCUUCGCGCCCGACCAGCGCCCGCCGGCGUCCGCGGCCGACGUCGCGCUCCCGGUCAUCGACCUCGCCCGCCCCCGCGACGAGGUCCGCCGGGCCGUCCUCGAGGCCGGCAAGGAGCUCGGCUUCUUCCAGGUACGCACCUCUCUCUCCGCCCUCCUCCUCCGGCAUCUUUGCUCGCUCGCUCGCUCGCUCGGCUUUCUCCUUUCCUCUCGUCGCGAUUGACGAUGACCGGCGUCGACCAGGUGGUCAACCACGGCGUGCCGGAGCAGGCGGUGCGGGACAUGGAGGCAUGCUGCGAGGAGUUCUUCCGCCUGCCCGCGGCGGACAAGGCGGCCUUCUACUCCGAGGACGCGGACCGGCCCAACCGCCUCUUCUCCAGCACCACCUACGGCACCGGCGGCGAGCGGUACUGGCGCGACUGCCUCCGCCUCGCCUGCCCCUUCCCCGCCGACGCCGCCGCCAGGGACGCGUGGCCCGACAAGCCCGGCCGCCUCCGGUCGGCGGUGGAGGCGUUCGUCGCGCCGGCGCGGGCCGUGGGGAUGGAGCUGCUGCGGCUGCUGUGCGAGGGGGUGGGGCUCCGCCCUGACUACUUUGACGGGGAGCUCAGCGGCGGCGACGUGGUGGUGAACGUGAACCACUACCCGCCGUGCCCGGACCCGGAGCGGGCGCUGGGCCUGCCGCCGCACUGCGACCGCAACCUCAUCACGCUCCUCCUCCAGGGGGGCGUCCCGGGGCUCCAGGUCUCGUACCGCGGCGACUGGAUCCGCGUCCAGCCCGUGCCCGGCGCCUUCGUCGUCAACUUCGGCCACCAGCUCGAGGUCCGAACAAAGCUGCCGUGAGAUGUCAAUGCUGAUGCGAUGUUUCGUGAUCUCUCGAUCCUGACGGUGAGCAAUCGGCGAUGCGUGCAGAUCGCGACGAACGGGCUGCUGAGGAGCGUCGAGCACCGCGCGGCGCCCAACGCGGCGGCGCCGCGCACGUCGGUGGCGACGUUCAUCAUGCCCACCGAGGACUGCCUCGUCGCCCCCGCCGCGGAGCUCGUCGGCGCCUGCAACCCGCCGCGGUACCGCGCCGUGACGUUCCGCGAGUUCAUGCGCGUCUACAAGGCCGUCGGCGCGCGGAGGGAGAGCGUCGAGAAGGCCUUCAGGCUCUGAUCUGAUCUGAUCUGAACCCGCCCCGGCAGUGCUCCGCACAUCUCCGCCGAUCCAGCUGGUGAUGAUCCCGUCGAUCUAGCUGGCUGCCAACAGAUUAAUGCUGUGCUACUGCCGAUGCCAUUGUAAACACGAGAACGACGAAUAAUUGAUCGAUAGGAAGAGAUGUGAUACAGACGACCUCCCUGUUCGUUUUCAUCGUGCUCGUUGCGCGUGUGAUGCAAGCUUUGUGCCCUUGUUCUCACCGUCUCGGCGAAGUCGGGCUCGACGUCUUGCCGGCCACCGACCCAAGCCUGGGACAAUGCCCGGGAUGGCGGUCUGGUUCGCCGGCGCCGCCGCACGAUCCGGUGCCGGUCGGCGGCAUGGCGCUAGGGCCAAAGUCAAACCGGCAAGCUGCUCAAAGCCUCCUUUUUUUUCGAGAAAGGGUUGGAUUUUAUUAAUACAAAAGUCUUACAACCAGCCCCCUAACUGGACACCCCUGAACAAACAAAACAUUACAUAAAAGUCCUCUACAGGAGCAACCAUGCCUGCGUUGGGUUUGGCCCAACAGGGCCCAGCCUGGCCUGCUAAGAAAACUUGGGCUUCGCAAAGCUCUUAGGCCUUAUUCCACACACAACAACGGUUGACUAGCAGAAUUUGAAACCCAAGCGCGAGUUACAUGACGGACCUUUCACGUCCUGAUCCAACAAGUUCUAUCUUCUUUUGGAAAGAAGGGAAUGUACGAUCGAUUCCAUCACGUGCUGAUCUGUUCAGAAUCCGGUUUCGUGCACAUAACUUCGUGCUUAUCGUCAAGCAUCACACGUACGGCGUCAGGCUUCACAUUUCCCAUGCAUCAAGCAAGUACUUCUGCCACAGUUGAAGACAUGUUCAGAAGCAGGGGUGAAGCCAGAUGAAAAUGUUGCCGGGGUCUUUCCUAGUUCUUGCCGGGGUCUUUACCUAUAAAAAACAGUGCAGAACAGUAAUUCUCACUGAUUUUGCAGAAAUCCAUCGGGGUCCAAACACCCCGACAGCAAGGCCCAGCUCCGCCCCUGUUCAGAAGAAUAUCAAGGAAAAUGUUGGUUUGGCAUUUUCCUGGAAAGGGAUGAUAGUUUAUGAAGGGAGUAUGCUAGAGUCACAAACUUAAACCUUGAGGCUUUCUUCUGUCAUGUUCCUGGACUACAGUGAAGCUAUAACUGGAUGACAGCAUGAAAGGCUAGCAUAGCAUGCAACUGUUGGUCAUUUCCUUUGGCAUUGUUUUCCUCUCCAAGCAAUUAUACCCAUGUCUCAUCCCAUGUAAUUCAUCAAAAGCUCUUGUUUCUAACACAGGCAACUGCAUCUUGACAUGUAUGAUUUGCAAACCUUACAACGAACAUCACGAAUAAACAGAUUUGAUAUGUAUAUGCUUAUCUAUAACUUCAUCUGAUCACAUAAACAUGAUGGUAGCAGGAUCAGAUAAGCUUCAUACUUGCUGCGACUUCCAGCACAAGUGAUAACAUACAACGAUACAAAACCAAUGAUAUGUCGAUACAUCACUUGGCCCUCCAGGACCAGAAUAAGCAAUACCUGAUGUGCAAUCUUAUCUUCUCGACUUAAACUACUUCCAGAGGAAGUGACGACGCAAAACCACUGCAUCUUUCCAGCAGAGAAUGAAACCAUGAUAAAGGAGAAGGAUAGACACAAUUGAGACCCCCUACUACCACGCUAACCCAGACCACCACCCGAAGGAACCUAUCCAUUGUAGUGAACUUGAGGACUCGGGAACCCAGGCAUGAACUCAGCGAUCCCUUCACGACCAUGCAUCAGAUCUUGUUGAUCUUCUCGGCCAUCACAACUGGAUUCUGCUUGGCUAUCUGCUCCCGGGCCACCUUCUUGUAGUCAAAGGUGCACUGGUGGGAGUCGGUGUAGCGGUGCGUGGAGCAGAAGGUGCCUCCGCAGCGGCAGAGGAAGCCGGUCAGCCCGACCUUCUUGCGGCAGGUCAGGCAUCGGUUGCUGGGCGGCUUUGGGGGCUCUUGCUCUGCAUGCUUCUCAGCCGCAGCUUCAGUGGCAGGAGCGGCAGGCGCAUCAUCUCGCUUUG
rnacentral:lncRNA from 1 species